UCCCACCUGGGGAGUACGUUCGCAAGAAUGAAACUCAAAGGAAUUGACGGGGGCCCGCACAAGCGGUGGAGCAUGUGGUUUAAUUCGAUGAUACGCGAGGAACCUUACCAGGGCUUAAAUGCAUAUUGACAGGGUCAGAGAUGGCCUUUCCUUCGGGCAAUUUGCAAGGUGCUGCAUGGUUGUCGUCAGCUCGUGCCGUGAGGUGUCAGGUUAAGUCCUAUAACGAGCGCAACCCCUGUUGUUAGUUGCCAGCGAGUAAUGUCGGGAACUCUAACAAGACUGCCGGUGCAAACCGUGAGGAAGGUGGGGAUGACGUCAAAUCAUCACGGCCCUUACGUCCUGGGCCACACACGUGCUACAAUGGCCGGUACAGAGAGCAGCCAUCUGGUGACAGAGAGCGAAUCUACAAAACCGGUCACAGUUCGGAUCGGGGUCUGCAACUCGACCCCGUGAAGCUGGAAUCGCUAGUAAUCGGAUAUCAGCCAUGAUCCGGUGAAUACGUUCCCGGGCCUUGUACACACCGCCCGUCAAGCCAUGGAAGCCGGGAGUGCCUGAAGUCCGUCACCGUAAGGAGCGGCCUAGGGCAAGAUCGGUAACUAGGGCUAAGUCGUAACAAGGUAGCCGUACCGGAAGGUGCGGCUGGAACACCUCCUUUCUAGA
rnacentral:rRNA from 1 species